rnacentral:tRNA from 1 species
GGGCCGGUGGCUUAGCCAGGAUAUAGCACUGGCCUUCUAAGCCAGUGGUCUCGGGUUCGAAAGGCGCGAAACGCGCCCGAAAGUCCCGACCGGCCCG